rnacentral:rRNA from 1 species
GACGAACGCUGACGGCGUGCUUAACACAUGCAAGUCGAAGGGAGUGGCGAACGGGUGAGUAACACGUGAGUAACUUGCUCUUCUCUCUGGGAUAAGCCUGGGAAACUGGGUCUAAUACUGGAUGGUUUGGGAUGGGCUCGCGGGUUAUCAGCUCGUUGGUGGGGUUAUGGCUUACCAAGGCUUUGACGGGUAGCCGGCCUGAGAGGGUGAUCGGCCACACUGGGACUGAGAUACGGCCCAGACUCCUACGGGAGGCAGCAGUGGGGAAUAUUGCACAAUGGACGAAAGUCUGAUGCAGCCAUGCCGCGUGUAUGAAGAAGGCCUUCGGGUUGUAAAGUACUUUCAGCGGGGAGGCGUUACCCGCAGAAGAAGCACCGGCUAACUCCGUGCCAGCAGCCGCGGUAAUAC